GACGAACGCUGGCGGCGUGCCUAAUACAUGCAAGUUGAGCGCUGAAGGUUGGUACUUGUACCAACUGGAUGAGCAGCGAACGGGUGAGUAACGCGUGGGGAAUCUGCCUUUGAGCGGGGGACAACAUUUGGAAACGAAUGCUAAUACCGCAUAAAAACUUUAAACACAAGUUUUAAGUUUGAAAGAUGCAAUUGCAUCACUCAAAGAUGAUCCCGCGUUGUAUUAGCUAGUUGGUGAGGUAAAGGCUCACCAAGGCGAUGAUACAUAGCCGACCUGAGAGGGGUAUCGGCCACAUUGGGACUGAGACCCGGCCCAAACGUCCACGGGAGGCAGCAGUAGGGAAACUUCGGCAAUGGAAGAAAGUCUGACCGAGCAACGCCGCGUGAGUGAAGAAGGGUGUCGGAUCGUAAAACUCUGUUUGUAGAGAAGAACGGUUGUGGGAGUGGAAAGCUCAUCAAGUGACGGUAACUACACAGAAAGGGACGGCUAACUACGUG
rnacentral:rRNA from 1 species